ensembl:lncRNA
UUUUUUUUUUUUUAAAGACGGAAUCUUGCUCUGUCGCCCAGGCUGGAGUGUAGUGGCCGGAUCUCAGCUCACUGCAAGCUCCGCCUCCCGGGUUCACGCCAUUCUCCUGCCUCAGCCUCCCGAGUAGCUGGGACUACAGGCGCCCGCCACCUCGCCCGGCUAGUUUUUUGUAUUUUUUAGUAGAGACGGGGUUUCACUAUGUUAGCCAGGAUGGUCUCGAUCUCCUGACCUCGUGAUCCGCCCGUCUCAGCCUCCCAAAGUGCUGGGAUUACAGGCUUGAGCGACCGCGCCCGGCCUCUUUACCUGUCUUUUAGGUCCCUGACUGUAUUCGUCUGUUUUCACACUGCUAUCAAGGUACUACCUGAGACUGGGCAAUUUAUAAACAAAAGAGGUUCAACUGACUCACAGUUCUGCAUGGUUGGGGAGACCUCAGGAAACUUACAACCAUGACAAACCUCAGGAAACUUAAAAUUAUGAUGAAAGGCAAAGGGGAAGCAGGCACCUUCUUCACAAGGUGGCAGGAGAGCAGGGAAAACUGCCACUUUUAAAACCAUCAGACCUUGUGAGAACUCCCUAUCACGAGAACAGCAUGGGGAAACAGCUCCCAUGAUCCAAUCACCUCCCACCAGGUCCCUCCCCUGACACAUGGGGAUAACAAUUCAAGAUGAGAUUUGGGUGGGGACACAGAGCCAAAUCGUAUCACUGACACCAUCACUGAAGCUGGGAAAAGGGCACAUGGGGAUUCAUUGUACCAUUCUCCAUACUUUUGAGUAUUUGUGAAAAUUCCAUAGUGAGGUCUUUUAAAAGCCACUCUUUAAUACAAGAAAUGAAAGAAAAACAUGGUGGGUUAUCCCAACUACACCAAUCCCACCAGUCUGUGAACCUGAACGAGAGCACAACCACUAAUAAAUAUGUAGCAUUGCCCACUAUCUCAUGGAUGUGUCCUCAAUAACUGGCCUGUUUUAUGUGUCAUCAUACAAUUUCAUAUAUGAAACUCAUUUCACUUGAUCUGAAGCUGAAAGAAGUAUUAAACAACGAGCCGGAAUUAUUUCCCAAACUCCCACUGGUGUUAACAACAUGACAUUAUUUUCAUUGUUCUAUGGGACCGAUACAUUUGGGAAAUCUGCAAGACUUGCUGUUUUAUUUUUUAUUUACUUAUUUUGAGACGGAGUCUUGCUCUGUCACUCAGGCUGCAUGCAGUACAGUGGCGAGAUCUCAGCUCACUGCAACCUCCACCUCCCGGGUUCAAGCAAUUCUCCUGCCUCAGCCUCCUGUCGCUGCGGCUACAGGCAUGUGCCACCAUGCCCAGCUAAUUUUUUGUAUUUUUAGUAGAGACAGGGUUUCACCAUGUUAGCCAGGAUGGUCUCGAUCUCCUGAUUUCGUGAUCUGCUUGCCUCGGCCUCCCAAAGUGCUGGAAUUAUAGGUGUGAGCCACCGCACCAGGCCAAGAGUUGCUGUUUUACUGCUGGAAACGGUAUCAGGGAGAAAAGAGGGCAGAAUUUAGGAAGAAAAAAAGAAGUGUUUUCUUGAUCCUUAUCCCAAAAUGAGUUUAAAGUAGAGAAUCAGAGCGCAAACAAGUUAUCCAAAAGUGUUAUAUAAGAGCCCCACUGACUUGCAUGGAAGUAAGCAUUACCUCCCCACAUGCCACCUAGCCCACC